GUCUGUUAAUUUUGAACUAAAUGAAGCAGAUUGCUGUUAGAGACAGGAGAAGUCAUUUUACAUUUUCCUAACAUUGUGUAGGUUUUUAGGUUAUGCACAAAAGUUCUUUCUAUCAUUAUGCCAUCACAGAAGGGCCAAGGAUUUGCCUCAAUAGUUACCUACAGGAGCAUCAGGUAUUCGAGCCUCAUCCUGUCAUCUUGGGGGACACAACUAAACCUACAACACACUGAUAAUGCUGGAGGGGUGUGCUGAAGAGAGAUUAGAGUCAGAUCCUGGAAAAGUCAAGAUACUGAUCUCAAUCCAGUGUGACCCACGUCGGACUUUUGACCUAAAGAACUGAAAGAUGAUAAUUUGAAUUUAAGCCAGUAAGUAUGUGACAAUUUCCUACAUCUGUGAUAGAAACCUACUAUAUAUUCAAUACCAUGCUUCGAUGGAAGAAAACAAGGUUUCCUUGGAGAAACAGCUAACCAUAAGGCUGGAGUGGGGAACAUGUAAAUAAGCUAUGGUUAUCUCUCACAAGACAAGAAGUCUCACUGAAGCCAAGUCCAUUUACUCACCACUCAAAAAAGACCCAGAAAUUUACUUGGCAAACCAACAAAACUGGGAAGACAGGCCUGGCGUGCUGAUAUAACCUCUUAAAUCAGCAUACGUUGAAGUUCCUUUUACCUUUAUUAAACAGGCA
rnacentral:lncRNA from 1 species